AAGCAUGAUAAGAGAUGAAAUGUGAGAUAUGGAAAGUUUUGAUACAUACCUUGGAUAUUUAAUUUAUUUUGAUGGUUAGUACUUUUGAAAGCUCUUGCAUAAGAAAUUUAAAAUAUAAUUAGUUAAAGGAGAAAAAACAAACUUCGACUACUUCUCAUUAUAGUUUGUAAUUGAAAAUUAUUAAUAGGUUUUGCAAAUUGCUUCUCGAAUAUACAAAGACAUGAAUUCUUUCUCAAACAUACAAAAAUUCCUAAUUUAGCAUGUAUUUAGGCCAUUCCAUAGGCUUGAUGUUCAACCCAAGUCUACUAUAUACUAGCCCACAAUGGCUCUAACGCUUAUUGUUCAACCCAAAUGUAAUACUAGGCCCAAAAAUGCUUUAAGUGUUCUUUGACUUCAAGAUUCAUAAAAGGAAAUUUCUAGAGUCUUAAUUUAUCAUCAUAUCAAACAUUGAACUUGAAUCAUUGAUGUGUAUAAAUGAAUUUAAAUUAUUGAACAAAAAAAAUGACUUCAUUAUGUAAAGGAAUUAGACGUAGAUACAACUAAAUGAUAAAAUUUUAAGAAAGAAUAGAUAUAGAAUUAGGUUUUAGAUUGAUUGUUAUCAAUCUACUAGUUAAAAUUUUAAGAUAGAGAAUAGGUACCUUAUGCCUAACUCAUAAUAUGAGUUGUUGAUAUAUAUGAUAAAAUUAUAUAAAAGAAUGAAAAUAAGUUAC